UUGGCAUAAGACUAUAGUCCUGAUUGUACGGGUCGGUGGGAUCAGGCUGUGGAUCUAUUCCUCGAC
rnacentral:precursor_RNA from 1 species